CGUGAUCAUUUCUUUUCUCUUUCUGUGCUCUCUUCUCUUUACCCCAUUUUAAACCAAGAAAGCCCUUCUGGCUUCUUUAUACCCUUGGAAGUCUGCGUCGGUGCUAAUGAUGACUCUGUCCCUGGAGCCAGCAAGUCUCAAAUGUGUACACAAUGCUCCAAACCAGGGCUUUGAGGAGACCAUAGCAGCCUUCAAAGAGACCCACACACACUCAGGGUCCAGCAGCUCACACCGUGGAUCAAAGGCAACAGAAGUUAUGGAAAAUUCUAAGCUGAAGAAUAGUAUGACUUCAGCAAGCCAGAGCCUUGGUCGGAAACAGAACUGUGAGAUGAGGAGAGGAGGAAGGUGUUGGUGAAGGUUUCAGAGCGUGAUCCAGACACCAGGAGGAGGAAAUGGAUCUGAACUCUGGUGGUGACAACGAUGGGGAGUUUGGAAGAGUAAAGGCAGACCUGAGCACUUCUGUGAAUGUCUCUCGAAGCUCCUUGUCUGGGAGCAUGGGUUCGUUCUGAGCCUGGACUUGGAGAACGGUGUAAUCAUAAACAGAAACAGUGUCACGAGGAGAAAAAGAGAGAGAACUCUGGGGAACGUGAUUUGGUUUGGCGUUUGUUUGGGAGAAAAGUGCUAGCAGAACAAUCAAAUAAAAUAUUUUAGCAGUCAGGCACAAUGCUCAGCCAACAUCAAAGUUUUCAAAAGCAUAGCGUGUGGAUAAUUAAACCCAUAAAGAACACUCCUAAACAACUGUUCAAGAAUUACCAGCUCUUGGGGAUGGGUGAUUUAUCCCAGGAGCUAUCCCCAGUUAACAAGUUCAUCCCUUUUUAUUCUUCUAGCCAAUAAAAGAGGGAAAAACGGGUUAAUUUUUUUGUAACAAAG
rnacentral:lncRNA from 1 species